rnacentral:rRNA from 1 species
UACGUAGGGUGCGAGCGUUGUCCGGAAUUACUGGGCGUAAAGAGCUCGUAGGUGGUUUGUCGCGUUGUUCGUGAAAACUCACAGCUCAACUGUGGGCGUGCGGGCGAUACGGGCAGACUAGAGUACUGCAGGGGAGACUGGAAUUCCUGGUGUAGCGGUGAAAUGCGCAGAUAUCGGGAAGAACACCCGUGGCGAAGGCGGCUCUCUGGGACGGUACUGACGCUGAGACGCGAAAGCGUGGGGAGCGAACAGG